UUUUACAUAAUUUUUAAAAUGUUCCUUAGGGAUAAGGGAUAUAUCCUUCCAUAGGGAUACGGCAAAGAGAAUGAUGAUGAUUAAAAUGUUCCUUUUAGUUUGUUAUACAUUUUCGAAAAAAAAAUUAUUUGCAACAUACCGUUGUAAUUCUAGAUGGGUUCAGGGAUUUAGUGAACUAUUACGGUGUUUUAAAAAGUUUAUUAAAUUCUUAAUAAACUAAAGUACAAAAUUAAAUCUCCAAAAAACUUGACAAAAAUAAUAGCAAAACUUCUAAUUGACAAAUAUACUUAACUGUCAGAUCCAUUACUAGUCUGACUUACUAACUUACACAUAUGCUAAGGUGAUUCAUAACAAUACUUUUCAAAUGACGAUUAACCGCCUCUGUGGCUCAGUGGUAAGAGCGCCUACCUCUGGAUCGAAAGGUCCGAAUGGUUUUAAGUGCGAAUCUCACCAGGGUUAGAAAUUUUUCGUUUAUUAUAAAUUAAUAAAUGAAAAUAGUUUCUGUCCUUGUGGGAUCGGUACUCACCGGAGGGACCGCAGACGUUCGGAUACAAUUAGCGUCUCUUUGCAAAAACAAUGAGGUCGACUUUGCAAAGUAACAAGACAUUUACUCGACACACACACUACACAGUACUCCCCUGAGUUAGUGAUAAGUUAUAAUCUAAAAAAUCAUUAUGAAAUUGACUGGUCAGUGGGUGGUGAAAACCAGUGCCAAUAAAACACAAACACACACACACACACACACACACACACACACACACACACACACACACACACACACACACACACACACACACACACACACACACACACACACACACACACACACAAAUGACGAUUAAAAAAAACUCAGUACUUGGAUAAAAAACAAGGCUUCUCAUGUAUCCAAGCCACUCCUAAAAUCGAAAUGAGUAUUGCUACAUAAGUAUCUCCUCUAAUACUCUCUACAAUAUUCUACUACGCAUUGCUCGCAGGAAGAUAUUCAAAAUAUAACCCUUCUAACUUACUGUCCGAUAAUCAAUGCAUAUUUCUGUAAAUUGUUUCUUCAGUAUUGUGUAAAAUUUCGACUUGAGUCCCUCAAUUGGCAGCAUCUCAGGAUCAUAUGAGGCCAUGAGAAACAGAGGGGCCUAACUCAUAAGAACAUUACUUUACAUAUUCAAGGAAAAUGAUCAAAGGCUAAUUCGAAAAAUGCUCACCAGAGUAGAAAACGUAAAGGACUCAACUUUUUAAAUUUCUAUUUUUUUUGAAAUAAAAGUGAACACACAUUAAUUUAGUAAAAAAUACUCCUGUUUUUCAGUAAAUAUUUUUAUGUCUGAAUUUUAUUUCCUGACUGGGUUUUGAACACAUACAGUGUUUUAUUUUGGGAAACCUGAAAAUAUAGUAUAAAAUUUCCCACUUGUUAACAUUAAGUGCCACCAAAGGUUGCAUUACCAUCAAGUUCCUUUAAUAAAUAUAUAACAAAUUGCAACAAUUUAAUAGUCAGUGUCUGGGUCAUGUAAUUGCUGUCAUCCAGGGUUAUGGAAAAUAUUGUCCACUAGUGUCUCUGAGACUGACCAAUUACGCCAAAACGUUCAUCCGUUUUCCGGCAUCAAAGAAAUUUUUUUUUGAAAGUUUCUCUAUUAUUGAAAGAAAAAAAUUCUCUAUUAUUUCUGUAUAGGUACAUAUGUAUACAAGUUAUAUUAAAUUCUCUACAUAAACAAAUUAUAUUAGGCAGUUUUUAAUAAAAAAUUUUCGUUUGGUUUAGUUUUGCACCUUGUAGUUUUUUUUAUUAAUUUGAGCUAUUAUAAAGUUAUCUUACUCAAAAUUCAGCCAACUUACAAGUGAAAAAUCGACUAAAUUCUGUAAUUUUGAAAUGUUUUUGCAGCACCUGUGUUUCUAAUUAUUGGUCAAGGUUUACAAAACAUUAUUUUGUAGAUUUUUUUAAGAACAAAAUUCAUUUUGUAAAGACUAUUUAUAUUUUUUAGUUUACGAAUUAUAAUAACUUAAACAAUUAAAUUGUUUAUAAUAAAUUCUCGUCACUUCCGGCGCAAAAGAAAGUUAUAAAUACGAAUUGAGCAUGUCAAAAUAUUAUUCGAUUUUUAUUCAUAUUUGAUAAUUAAUAGGUAACACCCAUCUUAAUUUUAAAAAUAUAAUUUAAGUAAUUAAUACAAUAAACUUAAAUAUUUUUUUUAAACGACAAACUUCUACUGCACUUAUCACAAUAACCAUCAAUAACUAACAAACCACUAAAAAUUGCCUUGGAAAUAUCAAUGUCCUUGGCGAAUGUAAAAUGUAAAUCAUGCAAUUCCCACGGUAAAUCACUGUAAAUCCCAAAAAUGAAAUAAAAACACUGUAUAUCCCGUAUUUACAGUGUUUAUACUUGGGGAUAUGGAUAUGUGUUUUAAAUUGGUAAAGUGAAGAUGGAAUGUAAUAAUAUAAUGUGUUUUAUAGCAAUGUUAAAUUGUGUUUCUACUAUUUUUUUUAUUUUUUUCUUCCUUGGUAAUUGGUAGAUAACAACACCCUAAAUCCAAAAAUGCAAUAAAACUGAUAUAAAAAAAUGGAUGUACAGUGUUUCUACUUGGGGCAUCCACAGGUUGCUACAAUGGGGCAGGUUUCUACAAUGUUCGAUUGUUUUAGUAAUUGUAGGUUGACCAAGAAUCAUCCAGGCUAACAAACAAUUACUAAAAAAAUCGGAUAUGGUUAGCCUCUGAUCAUUUUCCUUGAUUAUGUAUAAUAAUGUUCUUAUCAGUUAGGCCACUUUGGUUCUCAUGGCCUCAUAUUUUCUGUUAAAGAAACCAAACUAUACCUUGCCUGUAGUCAAAUCUAAAAGCAACUUAAAGGAAACAAAAUAAAACAGAAAGAGCCAGAACCAAACAUAAACUUAAUGAAGAAAAAAGAAACGAGUUGGACACACAGAAUAUUCUUACAAGUUAUGGUUUUAAAUAAAAGCCAUAAUUAAACAAACUAAAACCAAUCUAAAAUGCAGAAACCAACAGGUACAAAAAAAAUAGGUGACUGUUAAAAUCUUCGAAAUUAUAAAUUUAAGAAACCAACACCAGAAUAAAAAUAUCAUUAAAGAAAUUCAGAAAAAAAUAAUAAUAUAAUAGUGGAGCAAAGGAAAAGUAAAGACACAGACACACGUGAAGGGAUAGAAGAAUUUAGAAAAAAAUAUUGAUAAAUAUCUCCACAACAAAAUAAAAUAAAUAAUUGGAAAUAGGUUUAAUAGACACUGUGGCCUACUAUUAUUAAGCACGUAUAGAUAAUUAGAAGGAAAAAAGGACGAAUGGAAAAUAAAUAAAAACUCCUAUUUAUAGAUAACAGAAAACAAGAUAUAUCAACAGACCUUUAAACAUGCAUAAUAAUUUGUCCAUUCUUAUAUCAGAAAAAUAAUACGAGUAUACGAAUUGAAAAACAUGAAAACUGGAAAAAUGUCUUGCAUUGUCCCGAAAACAUUUACAAAGAAAUUAAAAAGCUCCUAGAAAACAUAAACUUAGAUUUCUUUGCACAAAUUUUCAAUAUAGUAUGUACAAAACUUGCAAAGGGUCACAUGAUCGGCUAACAUCUACGUAUGUACCCCUUUCUAAAUGCAAGCUUAUCUUCGACCAUAUCUUCGAUGGUCUUCAUUUUUGGGGUUCUAGUACAGCUGCCCAAUCCGAUGUUAUUUUAAAUUAUAAAAAAGAGCAAUAAGGUAUCUGUUUGGUCUCAGAAAAAUAACACUUUGGAGAAGCUACUUCAAAGUUCACGGAAUUUUCAACAGUUCAUCUUUUGUAUAUUUUAGAAACUGUUUGCUUAAUUCGUAAACCCCUACAUAUCAUUCCAGCAAGACCUAAUCAUUACUACCCUAUCAAAAUUCAACCUUUAAUGUCUAUUUACCGAUCCCGUCCACCGAGUUAGUAAAGAAAUCUAUAAUAUUCUCUGCAAAAAAACUAUGCAACCAUCUCCAUUUGCACAUUAAAUCUACAACAUCUGUUUCCAAGUUUCGCAAAAUGACAAAAGCUUAUCUAUCUGAAGGACCAUGUUAUUCAGUAUAAGAGUUUCUUAACUAAGAGAUUACAGUACUCUUAUAUAUGUUAUAGUCAAAGCCCGAAUUUCGGGCACUCCUAGGUUUGCCUAGGCAAUCCUCAGGUCUGACUGACGAUCUUAGUCAAAGGCCGAAAUAAAUUACAGUUUCGGCCUUUGACUAGUCAAACCUAGGAGAGACUAAGUUGGUCAAGGUCGAAAUUUAUUUUUAUGAAAUCGGGGUUUGACUGGUCAAACCCCGAUCAGCUAUUAAAAUGUCGUAAUUUGUUAGAUUAGUUUAAUAAAACGUCAUUUUUUAAUUUUAAUGUUUAUUAUUUUUAUAAUUAUUAAUAUUAUAUUAAUUCUACAGUGCAACAAUGCCAUCGCAUAUCAAAUGUUAGUAGAGCUUUGGGCAAUAAACAAUAUUGCACAGCAGCCUUUCUGGACAUCAGCCAAGCAUUUGAUAAGGUAUGGCACCCAGGAUUACUUUAUAAAAUCAAAAAAUCUCUACCCAACAAAUACUUUGACUUAUUAAAAUCAUAUUUAAAUCACAGAGAACUUGAAACUAAAGUGGAGGAUGAACUAUCAAACCGUAACAAAAUUUAAUCAGAAGUCCCAGAAGGUAGUAUACUGGGUCCACUUCUUUAUGUACUGUACAUAUCCGAUUUACCAACCUCUCCACAAACUACCAACUUUCGAUGAUAACACAGCAAUAUUUGCAACUGAAGAGGAUACAAUAGCUGCAAUAUUAAAACUUCAAGAACACCUAGACCAAAUUGGACAGUGGUUAAAAAAAUGGAAGAUAAAAGCUAAUGAAACUAAGUUAACACAUAUAACUUUCACACUAAGGAAAGACCAAUGCCCAAAUAUUAGCCUUAAUCAAGUCAACAUACCACACCAGAAUAUUGUCAAAUACCUGGGGCUUCAUCUUGAUUCUAAAUUAAACUGGAAACAACACAUUUUAAAGAAGAAGAAACAAAUUGAGUUGAGAGUAAAAGAAAUUAAUUGGCUUAUAGGUCGAAAAUCUCGACUCUCAAUUGAGAACAAACUGCUAAUUUAUAAAGCAGUCACCAAACCUAUAUGGACGUACGGUAUAGAACUAUGGAGUUGUGCCUGCAAAUCAAAUACACAAAUUAUCCAAAGAACUCAAUCAACAAUUCUACGCAUCAUCGCAAAUGCCCCGUGGUAUAUUUCCAACCAAACCCUUCAUAGAGACAUAAACAUCCCGUUAGUCAACACAGUAAUUCAAGAAAGAGCCAACAGACACCACGAGAAAUUGGAAGGCCACCCCAACCAAUUAAUAUUACACCACUACUGCAGCCACUAAACAACAGAAGAUUGCAAAGAUUAUGGCCCAUAGAUCUUCGCUGAAACUGAGGUGAAACCGCUGGGUGAUGUACUUCAUAGCGCCAUAUUAGUGAACAAUACUAUAAUAGUUGGUAUAAGUUAUUGUACUUGUUAUCAAAUUAACUCAUAGAAUUUGUAAUUCUGAUUGUUAAUAAAUGCUUACAAGAAAAAAAUAUAUUUUUAUAUUUUCGUAAUUAAAAUAAAAUAAAUAGUGUUUAUUCUCACAUAUUGAGUUGAGGCAUUAUGGCAUUUAGAGUUGCACAAUACCUAAUACCUUUUUUACACUUACAUAAUUUUGAAGAGCAUUUCUUAUUGCAGUAGCAUUUUAUAAAGCCUUGUCCUCCAAAUUUAGAAUCUUUUGUACUAAUUUCUCUUAGAGACAUCUUAACGUCUGGAACAUCUUCGAAAUUAAGAAAAUUCUCUUUGCAUUCUCUUAUUUGAUUUCUUGAAAAAAUAAUGUUUAUUGUUCGGUUUUUCGUAUCAACCCUAUAUAAACCGUCAGUUGUUUUAGCUUUUAUGAUACCCAAAAUAUUUCGGGCAUCUCCUUUGGCUAUAUCAAAGCUGGGGAUAGGUAUUGUUACACAGACAGAAAAGAUUAAAAUAAAUGUAGGAAAGGCGAUUGAAGGUCUUCAUACCCAGGCUAAUACUAUGAAACAAUUAAGUGAAAAAGAAAGUUUCCUCCAACAUCGAUCGGAAUAACUGUAACAAUAACUAGGUAUCCCCAGCUUUGAUACAGCCAAAGGAGAUGCUCGAAAUAUUUUGAGUAUCACAAAAGAUAAAACAAUUGACGGUUUAUAUAGAGUUGGUACGAAAUACGGAACAAUAAACAAACUUGUUUCAAGAAAUCAAAUAAGAGAAUGCAAAGAGAAUUUUCUUAAUUUCGAAGAUGUUCCAGACGUUAAGCUGGUCUCUAAGAGAAAUGAGUACAAAAGAUUCUAAAUUUGGGGGACAAGGCUUUAUAAAAUGCUACUGCAAUACGAAAUACUCUUCAAAAGUGUAAAAGGUGUAACGUAUUGUGCAACUCUAAAUGCCAUAAUGCCUCAACAUGUGAGAAUAAACACUAUUUUUUUAAUUUUAAUUACGACAAUAUAAAAAUAAAAAACAUUAAAAUUAAAAAAUGAGGUUUUAUUAAAUCUAAUCUAAAAUUACGACAUUUUAAUAGCUGAUCGGUGUUUGACUAGUCAAACCCCGAUUUCAUAAAAUUAAAUUUCGACCUUUGCCUGACCAACUUAGUCUCUCCUAAGUUUGACUAGUUAAAGGCCGAAACUGUAACUUUACUUCGGGCUUUGACUAAGAUCGUCAGUCAGACCUGAGGAUUGCCUAGUCAAACCUAGGAGUGCCUGAAAUUCGGGCUUUGACUAUAACAUAUACAAGUAACUUAAAUGUUUUUAUCUGUUUGAUUGUCAUAUGCAGCAGCUUAAAUUUAUUAGUUCCUAAGGUUGUAACUCUUUGUAAGCUUUGUCCUUAAAAUUGUAAAAUUUUUAGGUGACAAUAACGCAUAUUAUUUCCUUUCUGUCGAUUCUCAGAAAACUAUAAAAUAUGUAACAACUUUCGACUUAUAAGCCUCAUGCCUCAUUUAUGCUUUAAAGUUAUAUCUGAAAAAAAAAUGUAAAGAGGAUAAUGGGCCAGAACAAUUUGGUUUAAGAAAUUUAUUUCACAAAUCUCCUAACCAAAUUAUAUCAAUAUUUAUUAUAGAUUUAAACGCCAACCCCACUAAAACGAAUGUGAAUAAUAAAAAAUUUCAAAUAUGAGGUACAUAAGACCUUCAACACAAAAUCUACACCAUUGUUUAUUUCCCUCAUGCUUCAAAAAUAUUCAUUACGCUUUGUAGCUGAAACAAAUUCAGGCCAGCUUUAUAACGUACAUUUGUCCUACGGUUCGUAUUUCUUUUUGUUUAUUUUCAUGGAAACUCCUGUUACUAGAUACAAAAAUCCGGCAUCCUGCUUUGUUUUCUAAAGGUUUGUAUCCCGAUGGUCAAAACAUAACAUGCUGUAUUUUUUUUCAUGUGGAUGAAACUUGUUUUUUAUUUAAUGUCAAUACGAUGAUUACUCAAUUAUCUAGAUGUCAAUUAGUUUUGAAAAGUAUAGAGAAAUAUACACAUCGAGGUAUAAUGUUUAAUAAAAAUGUUGUUUUAUUAUUCCAAUAACAUUGGAAAUGUGUGUGAAUACGUGUAUAAGAUAAAUAGAGUUUCAUGAGAUGCAAACAAAGGCCUAUUCAAAAAUAUGGGUCUAUUAACAUAGAAAUGACAUAAAGACGUAUCAAAGCAAACAUUUCAGAAAAUUAUAUCAAUAAAAAAAAAGAAUGUGUGUGUACUUUGUACGCACGUAAGAAGUUAUACUUCUAUUAUAUGAUUUCUUAAAAAUAAAUAUACUUUAAACAGUU
rnacentral:lncRNA from 1 species